rnacentral:rRNA from 1 species
CUUGAUAAGUCAGAUGUGAAAUCCCCGGGCUUAACCUGGGAANUGCAUCUGAAAACUGUUAGGCUAGAGUAGGUGAGAGGGGAAGUAGAAUUUCAGGUGUAGCGGUGAAAUGCGUAGAGAUCUGAAGGAAUACCGAUGGCGAAGGCAGCUUCCUGGCAUCAUACUGACACUGAGGCUCGAAAGCGUGGGUAGCAAACAGGAUUAGAUACCCUGGUAGUCCACGCCGUAAACGAUGUCUACUAGUCGUUGGGUCCCUUGAGGACUUAGUGACGCAGCUAACGCAAUAAGUAGACCGCCUGGGGAGUACGGCCGCAAGGUUAAAACUCAAAUGAAUUGACGGGGGCCCGCACAAGCGGUGGAGCAUGUGGUUUAAUUCGAUGCAACGCGAAGAACCUUACCUGGUCUUGACAUAUCUAGAAUCCUGCAGAGAUGCGGGAGUGCCUUCGGGAAUUAGAAUACAGGUGCUGCAUGGCUGUCGUCAGCUCGUGUCGUGAGAUGUUGGGUUAAGUCCCGCAACGAGCGCAACCCUUGUCCUUAGUUACCAGCGGGUUAAGCCGGGAACUCUAAGGAUACUGCCAGUGACAAACUGGAGGAAGGCGGGGACGACGUCAAGUCAUCAUGGCCCUUACGACCAGGGCUACACACGUGCUACAAUGGUAGGUACAGAGGGCAGCUACACAGCGAUGUGAUGCGAAUCUCAAAAAGCCUAUCGUAGUCCAGAUUGGAGUCUGCAACUCGACUCCAUGAAGUAGGAAUCGCUAGUAAUCGCGGAUCAGAAUGCCGCGGUGAAUACGUUCCUCGGGCCUUGUACACACCCCCCGUCACGCCACGGGAGUUGCUCUAGAGUUAGAUCGUGGCUCAGACAGUCGUAACAGNGUAACCACUAGAGUGAUACG